rnacentral:tmRNA from 1 species
GGGGCUGAUUCUGGAUUCGACGGAAUUUGCGAAACCCAAGGUGCAUGCCGAGGGGCGGUUGGCCUCGUAAAAAGCCGCAAAAAAUAGUCGCAAACGACGAAAACUACGCUUUAGCAGCUUAAUAACCUGCUUAGAGCCCUCUCUCCCUAGCCUCCGCUCUUAGGACGGGGAUCAAGAGAGGUCAAACCCAAAAGAGAUCGCGUGGAAGCCCUGCCUGGGGUUGAAGCGUUAAAACUUAAUCAGGCUAGUUUGUUAGUGGCGUGUCCGUCCGCAGCUGGCAAGCGAAUGUAAAGACUGACUAAGCAUGUAGUACCGAGGACGUAGGAAUUUCGGACGCGGGUUCAACUCCCGCCAGCUCCACCA